rnacentral:rRNA from 1 species
UACGUAGGGUGCAAGCGUUGUCCGGAAUUAUUGGGCGUAAAGAGCGUGUAGGCGGCCCGAUUAGUCCGCUGUGAAAGUCCAGGGCUCAACCCUGGAAUGCCGGUGGAUACUGUCGGGCUAGAGUCCGGAAGGGGCGAGUGGAAUUCCUGGUGUAGCGGUGAAAUGCGCAGAUAUCAGGAGGAACACCAAUGGCGAAGGCAGCUCGCUGGGACGUGACUGACGCUGAGACGCGAAAGCCAGGGGAGCGAACGGG